rnacentral:rRNA from 1 species
CUAUACUGCAGUCGAACGCUUCUUUCCUCCCGAGUGCUUGCACUCAAUUGGAAAGAGGAGUGGCGGACGGGUGAGUAACACGUGGGUAACCUACCCAUCAGAGGGGGAUAACACUUGGAAACAGGUGCUAAUACCGCAUAACAGUUUAUGCCGCAUGGCAUAAGAGUGAAAGGCGCUUUCGGGUGUCGCUGAUGGAUGGACCCGCGGUGCAUUAGCUAGUUGGUGAGGUAACGGCUCACCAAGGCCACGAUGCAUAGCCGACCUGAGAGGGUGAUCGGCCACACUGGGACUGAGACACGGCCCAGACUCCUACGGGAGGCAGCAGUAGGGAAUCUUCGGCAAUGGACGAAAGUCUGACCGAGCAACGCCGCGUGAGUGAAGAAGGUUUUCGGAUCGUAAAACUCUGUUGUUAGAGAAGAACAAGGACGUUAGUAACUGAACGUCCCCUGACGGUAUCUAACCAGAAAGCCACGGCUAACUACGUGCCAGCAGCCGCGGUAAUACGUAGGUGGCAAGCGUUGUCCGGGAUUUAUUGGGCGUAAAGCGAGCGCAGGCGGUUUCUUAAGUCUGAUGUGAAAGCCCCCGGCUCAACCGGGGAGGGUCAUUGGAAACUGGGAGACUUGAGUGCAGAAGAGGAGAGUGGAAUUCCAUGUGUAGCGGUGAAAUGCGUAGAUAUAUGGAGGAACACCAGUGGCGAAGGCGGCUCUCUGGUCUGUAACUGACGCUGAGGCUCGAAAGCGUGGGGAGCAAACAGGAUUAGAUACCCUGGUAGUCCACGCCGUAAACGAUGAGUGCUAAGUGUUGGAGGGUUUCCGCCCUUCAGUGCUGCAGCAAACGCAUUAAGCACUCCGCCUGGGGAGUACGACCGCAAGGUUGAAACUCAAAGGAAUUGACGGGGGCCCGCACAAGCGGUGGAGCAUGUGGUUUAAUUCGAAGCAACGCGAAGAACCUUACCAGGUCUUGACAUCCUUUGACCACUCUAGAGAUAGAGCUUUCCCUUCGGGGACAAAGUGACAGGUGGUGCAUGGUUGUCGUCAGCUCGUGUCGUGAGAUGUUGGGUUAAGUCCCGCAACGAGCGCAACCCUUAUUGUUAAUUGCCAUCAUUUAGUUGGGCACUCUAGCGAGACUGCCGGUGACAACCCAGAAAAGGGUGGGGAUGACGUCAAAUCAUCAUGCCCCUUAAGACCUGGGCUACACACGUGCUACAAGGGGAAGUAAACCGAGUCGCUAGACCGCGAGGACGUGCAAUUCCCUUAAAGCUUCUCUUAGUUCGGAUUGCAGGCUGGGUCUCGCCUGCAUGAAGCCGGAAUCGCUAGUAAUCGCGGAUCAGCACGCCGCGGUGAAUACGUUCCCGGGCCUUGUACACACCGCCCGUCACACCACGAGAGUUUGUAACACCCGAAGUCGGUGAGGUAACCUUUUGGAGCCAGCCGCAAGG